rnacentral:rRNA from 1 species
AAUGAACGUUGGCGGCAUGGAUUAGGCAUGCAAGUCGAGCGAGAAGAGUUUUGAAGCUUGCUUUAGAACUCGGACAGCGGCGAAAGGGAGAGUAACGCGUAGUUAUGUGCCCUAGGGUCCGGAAUAGCCACGGGAAACUGUGGGUAAUGCCGGAUAAUAUCCCCGGAUCAAAGGUGUGAUUCCGCCCUAGGAGCAGACUGCGUCCCACUAGGUAGUUGGUGGGGUAAUGGCCUACCAAGGCAAUGAUGGGUAGCGGGUGUGAGGGCAUGACCCGUCUCACUGGGACUGAGACACUGCCCAGACACCUACGGGUGGCUGCGGUCGAGAAUCUUCGGCAAUGGGCGAAAGCCUGACCGAGCGAUGCCGCGUGCGGGAUGAAGGCCCUCGGGUUGUAAACCGCUGUCGUAGGGGAGGAAGGUUCCGUGAAGAGCGGAAUUUGACCUAUCCUAGGAGGAAGUACGGGCUAAGUUCGUGCCAGCCGCCGCGGUAAUAC